UACGAGAGGCCCAAACGUUAUUCGGAAUUCCUGGGCUUAAAGAGUUCGUAGGCGGCAUUGCAAGUAGGGUGUGAAAGCCCUCGGCUCAACCGAGGAAUUGCGCUCUAAACUGCAGUGCUUGAGGAACCUAGAGGUGAGCAGAACAGAUGGUGGAGCGGUGAAAUGCGUUGAUAUCAUCUGGAAUACCGGAGGCGAAGGCGGCUCACUGGGAGUUUUCUGACGCUGAGGAACGAAAGCCAGGGUAGCGAACGGG
rnacentral:rRNA from 1 species